GCCGUCUGCCCAGGGUCCCCGUCCGUCCUGGGCAGAGGGGCACACUCCGGGGACGGCAGAGAACCGGCUGGAGCGCCGGGGCGCGAACCUGCGGGUGCAGAGUGGGCAUGUCCGCCUCACAGCCAGCGGAGCGCAAAGGAAAGAGCCUGUGUUUGGUGAACUGAACAGCAAGGGAAGGCUGGUGCUUUAAAGCGUACAAAGGGAAGAAUGAGGUGACAUCAAUACCUGAGAACCUCACCGCUGGAGGGCCGGGGAGUGCCACCUCAGCAUGUUUCACUUCAGACUGUGUCCAGAGACAUUAGGCGUGGAAUGUCAACCCUUCACCCUCAUUACUCAGGUUGCAGAUGCCAGCAGGAUGCUGACCAGAUUUCCCUGGACAGACGACCCCACCCAUGUGUCCUGGAGCUCUGCUUCCCCAGAGCCCUUCCCCACUAGGGAGAGGUAGACACAGGCUGGGAGUAUGGAUCGUCCUGUCAACACCCAUGGUCAGCGGGGAAGCAGUUACAGAAGCCAGACCUUCCACCUUCUGCAUCCCACAAUGACCCUGGGUCCAUACUCCCAGAGGGACAGAGAAUGAGAAAGCUAUCAGGGGAGGGGAUGGGAUGCGGAGUUCUGGUGGUGGGAACUGUGCAAAGUUGUGCCCCUCUCAUCCUAUGGCUUAGCCAAUGUUUUCUUUUUACAAAUAAAAAAAAUUACAAAAAGGAAAAGGAAUAUAUGGAGAGAGAGACAGUCAUAGACAUAGCAGACGCUGGGAGAAUUGCUGCAGCUUCCAGUGGAGGCAAUGGGGACACAAAACUAGUGC